UGGCUACUGAUUUGCUUAUUGCACCACAUGUGUUUUUCUUUGAAACAAACUUGCUUUGGCGGUGGGCCCAGCCUGCCGCCAGAGGUCUAAACUUGCAACCAAUUUUUUAUCAACUUGUCACACCAGAUUAUUACUAAUAGUCAAAACUUUCAACAACGGAUCUCUUGGUUCUCGCAUCGAUGAAGAACGCAGCGAAAUGCGAUACGUAAUAUGAAUUGCAGAUAUUCGUGAAUCAUCGAAUUUUUGAACGCACAUUGCGCCCUCUGGUAUUCCGGAGGGCAUGCCUGUUUGAGCGUCGUUUCUCCCUCAAACCGCUGGGUUUGGUGUUGAGCAAUACGACUUGGGUUUGCUUGAAAGACGGUAGUGGUAAGGCGGGAUCGCUUUGACAAUGGCUUAGGUCUAACCAAAAACAUUGCUUGCGGCGGUAACGUCUACCACGUAUAUCUUCAAACUUUGACCUCAAAUCAGGUAGGACUACCCGCUGAACUUAAGCAUAUCAAAAUCGGAGGAAA
rnacentral:rRNA from 1 species